GUUGACCAAAAGGCAAGGUCAAGAGCAACUUCCCAGGUUUGAGGUUUGAGGAAUGAGACAUCUAUGAAUGACAUUUCAUGCAAUGGGAAGGGCACAGGAAGGAACAUAAUUCAAGAACAAUGAGAUGUGACAUUCUCUGUUCAGAGUCCUUCUGUGGCCAUAGCAGAAGAUGUGCUUUUAUCAAGGACACUCCACACAACCUGCUUGGGCCUUGGAAAGCAGAAGCCUGCACAGGACCACCUUCAGUGAAGUCUAGCUGAUCCUGCAGCCAUCUGCGCCCUUGUCAGAGAGGCAAGAGUUCCCUGAUGGACCAGCAUCAGGCAGAUCACAACCCUUCAUUUGUAUGUUUUGCAAUGAGUAGUGCGACCCAUCUUGCCAAAUAACCCUCUUGGCUACAACAUCAGGCGGUUCUGCUUACUGUUUGAAUCAGUCAUGGGAAGCCCUCCCACACACGCUGUCCCCUGGUAUGGCAACACUGGCCUCAUUAAAAGACUUCUCUCUCUUU